rnacentral:rRNA from 1 species
GACAGAGGGGGCAAGCGUUGCUCGGAAUCACUGGGCGUAAAGGGUGCGUAGGCGGCGAGGUAAGUCGGAUGUGAAAUCCCGGGGCUCAACCCCGAAACUGCAUUCGAUACUGCUUUGCUUGAGUACUGGAGAGGAGACUGGAAUUUACGGUGUAGCAGUGAAAUGCGUAGAUAUCGUAAGGAAGACCAGUGGCGAAGGCGAGUCUCUGGACAGUUACUGACGCUGAGGCACGAAGGCCAGGGGAGCAAACGGG